GGUGGUGCAUGGACGUUCUUAGUUGGUGGAGCAAUUUGCCUGGUUAAUUCCGUUAACGAACGAGACCUCAGCCUGCUAACUAGCUAUGCGGAGGUAUCCCUUCGCAGCCAGCUACUUAGAGGGACUACGGCCUUUUAGGCCGCGGAAGUUUGAGGCAAUAACAGGUAUGCGAUGCCCU
rnacentral:ncRNA from 1 species